rnacentral:lncRNA from 1 species
GGAAACUCUCUUAGAUCUCACUAAAAAGCCAUGAAUUUCUCUCCACCAUCACCACCGACACAACAACAGCUAUCGACACCACCGCCGACCUAGCCUCAAACACCUUUACAGCCGCAAACACCACCACCACCACCGCAGCAGCAACCUUGAAUAGAAGUGCCACCAAAGUGCACCCAGCAACCAAAAUCCUCCCCAAACCCAACCACCCCUUUCGCCAUCGAAUUCAAAGACAAAGACGUCACUCCCACAACAACUAUCUCCUUUUGCCUUACUAAACCUAAAUUUGUCUACGUUCCCAACUAUUCUCGUAAGUCCCCUUCUAAUUUUCAACUUAUAUUUUUGUAUUUUAGGGAGGAAUUGAUAUAAAUAAUUCAUGUAAUUGAUUAAUUGAUAUUUGGUGUUGCUCUUUUAGGUUGGUUUUCGUGAAAUAGCAUUCAUGAAUGUGAGGUUUGCUUUUUUCCUGAAUUCUUUGAUGGAAGGUCACCUUGUAAGAAUCCUAAGACAUACAAAUACUAUAGUAAUACCAUUAUUCGUAGAUUCAGCGAUAACCCCACUAAAAAAUUACCUUUACUAAGGUUCGCAAGACCAUUGUUGGAGACGUGGGUUCAUUUCGUGAAGUUUUUGAUUUCUUAGAGACAUGGGGUUUGAUUUUUAGCAUUUUUAUUAAUUUGAAGUUGGAUUAUUGAAAUUACACACCACAUGUUUGUUGAAUGUAAGUAUAGUAUUGCAAAAAUCUACAUCAUCUAUUUCAAUUUGUUUGUUCGGUGUUGACUUUUCACAUAGUUUAAGAAAGUCAUGUUAUGAAUUAUUAGUGCCAUCUCUUUCUUUUCUUCCUCGGUUCUGUGUUUUCGGAAAUUAAUGGUAUAGUGAUGCUGUUAAAUUAACCAAGGGACUAGAAUACCUCUAUGAGAGCUGUAAUCCCCUAUAAUCCAUAGAGAUCUCAAAUCAUCUAAUAUUCUACUAGAUUCUGACUUCAGUGCAAAGGUAAAUUAGCAAUAUAACAACAUAGCUCUCACUCAUUUGCUUUUCCUUUGUAAGCAUUUCAUAUGGUUUAUCUUGUCUGAGUUGGUUAACUUUUACUUUGAUUAACUUUCUGAUUUUGGCCUUGGUAUUGCGGGAUGGAAUUGAACAAGAGAAAUGUAAAGUAAGAGCAACUAUUAUUUGAGUGACUAAACGAGAAAUCUACCCAUAUUAAAAUUGUUUAGUUGACGCGAAAAUAGUAAAUGCAUAGAGUAUUGAUAAUUAUAGUAUUUCAUCUGUAUUCUGCCUUUUACCAGGUUUGUCAUUGCUAUUUUAGUGACCGUAGUGUAAUGGAGAGAGAGAUAAAAGAUGGAAUAUGUUGAAUGAAGAAUAUUAAUAGUAGUCUAUUUUUGAGGUUCUGAUCGAUCAGUACUAAUUAAUUAGUACGUAUAUAUAUAUGAUCAUUCUUGAUUAUCACAACUAUGCAUUUGUUAUAAUUAAAAGGUUAAUGGAUGCAAAAGAUUGGUGAUUAAUUUAGAGUUGGGAGGGAUUAAAAUCAUAUGAAAAUAUGUAGUACACUACAGAAGGAUUGCACUAUUUAAUUUGUACCCAUUAUUAAGGACUUUCUACACCUUUUGAUGUCUUUUUGUGUCAUGCAUGAUGACUUGAUAAGUCCCAAACUACAUUGUGACAACACCCUUUCAUUUAGUUGGUAAGACAAGUCGAUAAGUUUUGAUCCGAGAUCCCUUUUAUUGAAAAAAAUAGUUAUAUUUGAGAAAAAUUUGUUUGUUACUUGCCUAGUUUCUUCUGUCCAUUAUCAAGAAAUUAACUUUUCACAAUACCACCUAAAUAACUAUGAUCAUGGAGUUAAUAAGUUGGGUAGAAAGAGCCUGAGGUGCGGCCAGUGUCAUCAUACAUACAUCUUGCUACCUUUGGAGAUAUACUUAUGGACAUGAGGACAUUUAUUUAAUCUUGCUCAUUGUGAAUGCUAACUUUUGAAUUCUCAGUAAUUAUCUAUUUUGAAAUGAUAAGGGUUAUGUUAUUAGGAGCGUCAUCUUGGUGAUGUGAACAAGCAGCUGAAGAUUAAG